rnacentral:rRNA from 1 species
CACGUAGGCGGGUCGUUAAGUCAGGGGUGAAAUCCCGGAGCUCAACUCCGGAACUGCCUUUGAUACUGGCGACCUUGAGGCUGGAAGAGGUUAGUGGAAUUCCCAGUGUAGAGGUGAAAUUCGUAGAUAUUGGGAAGAACACCAGUGGCGAAGGCGGCUAACUGGUCCAGAUCUGACGCUGAGGUGCGAAAGCGUGGGGAGAAAC